rnacentral:tRNA from 1 species
GAGUCGCUAGCUCAGUCGGUAGAGCAACUGCCUUUUAAGCAGUGGGUCCGGGGUUCAAUUCCCCGGCGACUCA